AUACGGAGGGUGCAAACGUUGCUCGGAAUCAUUGGGCGUAAAGCGUGCGUAGGCGGCCUUUUAAGUCGGGUGUGAAAGCCCUCGGCUCAACCGAGGAAGUGCAUUCGAAACUGGAAGGCUUGAGUACCGGAGGGGGUGACGGAAUUCCCGGUGUAGAGGUGAAAUUCGUAGAUAUCGGGAGGAACACCAGUGGCGAAGGCGGUCACCUGGACGGAUACUGACGCUGAGGCACGAAAGCGUGGGGAGCAAACAGGAUUAGAUACCCUGGUAGUCCACGCCGUAAACGAUGGGUGCUAGAUGCUGCGGGUAUUGACCCCUGCAGUGCCGUAGCUAACGCGUUAAGCACCCCGCCUGGGGAGUACGGCCGCAAGGCUAAA
rnacentral:rRNA from 1 species